rnacentral:rRNA from 1 species
CCUACGGGAGGCAGCAGUAGGGAAUCUUCCACAAUGGGCGAAAGCCUGAUGGAGCAACGCCGCGUGGGUGAAGAAGGUCUUCGGAUCGUAAAACCCUGUUGUUAGAGAAGAAAGUGCGUGAGAGUAACUGUUCACGUUUCGACGGUAUCUAACCAGAAAGCCACGGCUAACUACGUGCCAGCAGCCGCGGUAAUACGUAGGUGGCAAGCGUUAUCCGGAUUUAUUGGGCGUAAAGGGAACGCAGGCGGUCUGUUAAGUCUGAUGUGAAAGCCUUCGGCUUAACCGGAGUAGUGCAUUGGAAACUGGGAGACGUGAGUGCAGAAGAGGAGAGUGGAACUCCAGGUGUAGCGGUGAAAUGCGUAGAUAUAUGGAAGAACACCAGGGGCGAAAGCGGCUCUCUGGUCUGUAACUGACGCUGAGGUUCGAAAGCGUGGGUAGCAAACAGGAUUAGAUACCCCUGUAGUC